rnacentral:rRNA from 1 species
AGUGAACGCUGGCGGUAGGCCUAACACAUGCAAGUCGAACGGCAGCACAGUAAGAGCUUGCUCUUACGGGUGGCGAGUGGCGGACGGGUGAGGAAUACAUCGGAAUCUACUUUUUCGUGGGGGAUAACGUAGGGAAACUUACGCUAAUACCGCAUACGACCUACGGGUGAAAGCAGGGGAUCUUCGGACCUUGCGCGAUUGAAUGAGCCGAUGUCGGAUUAGCUAGUUGGCGGGGUAAAGGCCCACCAAGGCGACGAUCCGUAGCUGGUCUGAGAGGAUGAUCAGCCACACUGGAACUGAGACACGGUCCAGACUCCUACGGGAGGCAGCAGUGGGGAAUAUUGGACAAUGGGCGCAAGCCUGAUCCAGCCAUACCGCGUGGGUGAAGAAGGCCUUCGGGUUGUAAAGCCCUUCUGUUGGGAAAGAAAAGCAGCAGGUUAAUACCCCGCUGUUCUGACGGUGCCCAAAGAAUAAGCACCGGCUAACUUCGUG